UACGAAGGGGGCUAGCGUUGUUCGGAAUUACUGGGCGUAAAGGGCGCGUAGGCGGUUCGUCAAGUCAGGCGUGAAAGCCCCGGGCUCAACCUGGGAACCGCGCUUGAGACUGGCACGCUCGAGUUCGGGAGAGGAUGGUGGAAUUCCCAGUGUAGAGGUGAAAUUCGUAGAUAUUGGGAAGAACACCGAUGGCGAAGGCAGCCAUCUGGACCGACACUGACGCUGAGGCGCGAAAGCGUGGGGAGCAAACAGG
rnacentral:rRNA from 1 species